GAUCUCUGCUGACCUCUUCGCAUAGACUGUGUAAACGAAGUGCUGGACUUUUCCUGAAAGCUGCAAAAAUUAAUGGUUUAGAUAUAUUUAUAAUAAACUGAUUUAAACUUUUUCUAUAAGAAGAAAAAUUAAGACCACUUAUUUGAAAACAAAGAUGAAGUCUCACCUUCCAAUUGGCUUUCUCAUUAGUUCCUUCCAAAGUUAAAUCUUAAAGCUGUGACUGACAUUUUUCUCAUAAUGAAAAUGACCCCUCUCAGGACAUUGUGUAGCCUGUGGUUCUCUGUAUUGUAAUAACCAACCCCCAAAUCAUUGAACUGCUCUUAAAA